CGACAUGUAAGUCAUCUACAAAAUGUUAUUUAACUUUCACACAGGACUCUCCUGAGUGAAAGGCCUGAGUUUACUUGACUCAUCUGUCCACCUCCGUACAUGGACUUUGUGGGGGUGGAGAUGGAGCAAUGGAUAGGACACAUGCCUUUGGUGUAGGAGACCUGGGUUCGAUUCCCCCCUGUGACAUAGACUGUAUGUAAGAAGUGGGCGUCGUCAUCGUGACAUCACCUGUUGGUUUGUGGACUGCCGUUUUGAGUUUGGCCGCCAUGUUGAGUUUUUGCAACCAGCGACACAGGACGUGACCAUAUUUGGACGAGACGGUUUAGCUAACGGCCGUGUGCGGAGCUAGCUAGCUUGCUUAGCUAGGUGCAUCUGUACCUCACGUUAACCGUCAUCUUAACAGGGCUGAUAACUUCACAGUCACAGUGAUAACAACAGUCUACAAACUAAAUGUGCUCACCAGAGAAAGUGAACAGCCGACUCCUGAUAAGCUUUUUCAAAAGCGCUAAAUUUACACAGUCCCGUGGGGACGAGUCACUCUAGCUUGAUUGACAGGUUGCCAUGGUAACGACUUGUCAAUCAUAGAUAAUCCCGCCCUAAAGUCCCUGAGCAAGACACCGAACCCCUCGUUGCUGCAGAGGCGCGUGACUUUUUGCAAUUGUAAGUUGCUUUGGAUAAAAUCGUCAGCUAAAUGACUAAUUGUCGCUGUUUAUAUGUCACCUGACUUUUUCUGACACUAGAGGUUGCGGCCUAACAAAACAACGUAAAUUUGGGUCGUAAUAAUCGGCUGCAUUAUCGACAUGUACGGACGUUUCUCUGCUGAGGACUGGCUGUUGUGUUUUCUGCUAAUUAGCUAAUGUUAGCAUGCUAGCGUCAUUGUGAGCGCCGUGUCAGAGUGCAGCCUCACAGAGCAACUCCCACUUCACUCUAGUUUCAACAAUUCACUGUUAUCGGAAGCUAUAAGCCUAUAAGCCAGCCGCCUCACUGCUGCAGAGCGCUGUACUGUAGUUUAUUCAAAGUGUAAUAAUUCUGUCACAUGUCCAAAUUUGUCCGCUGGAAAACACCCGCCACAUGUGAGGUCGACUGGAGGAACCGUUCAACAUUAUUAUAUAAAAAAAAGCACCUUGAUUCCUGUCUUUAGUAGAGAGAUAACGCUAAUCAUGUCAAAUUAAAAGGUUUGGGCCCUGGCUGUUACUACCAGCAGCCACAGGGGGCGCCACACCAACCAGCACUGAAAGCCAAAUGACUUCUAUACUGAAAGUGGUUUGACUGUUUGUGUCGAUGCCAAGAAUGUUUGUCCAAAACAGUUUUAACUCUAAAGUUAAACUGUGUCUGUCAGAUUAAAGUGGACCUGGUCUCAGUUCUGGGCUCAGGAUCCAGAUUCUGGUGAUGCUGACGUCAGAUUAUAAAUGUGUUUUAUUGUUUUUAUGUUUCUGGUUUUAGGGUCUGUUGUGAGUUUGAGUCUCUGUGUUCAACAGGCGGUGUUUAUUGACGGAGGGACGCUCCCAACGGUUUGUUCCCAGGCCUCUCUCUCUCCUCAGUCUCUGUUAAGCUCUCUCGCCCUCACCCUGUGUCUCUCUCUGUUUCUGUUUCUCGGUGUCACUCGCCCUUUCUUCUUCUUUCUCACAGCUUCGCCCCUGUCAUGUGAUACUGGGCAUCCUGCCAGCUACCCCCCACCCCCCCCUACACACACACACACACACACACACACACACACACACACACACACAGCGUUGUGUUUCUGCAGCAGCUUCAUGUUUGUACAAAGACUCAGAUUAAUGCUGCUGGAAACUCACUGAUACUGACAGAAGCAGCAGUAGUAGAAGUAGUAGUUGUAGUACUUCUACUACUUCUACUACUGCUACAAAUACUACUACUACAGUAGUAUUUGCAGCUGCUGAUCAGAUGUGAGGUAAACUGCUGUGAAAGCUGCAGCAUGAGUUGAGGAUCAGGACGAACCUGCUGCACCGAGAGGAAAAAGAGAAAGGGACGGAGGGAUGAGACGUCUGCCCGAGGCUGCGACAGGAGACACUCAGACAGGAUGUGAGAGUACGGGAGCCUGCGGGGAUCAUUUUCACCCCUAACUGACAGAAACACCAUUUAAAGAGACACGUUUUAUUUGCUCUGUGUAUUUAGUGUACAUGUACUGUACAGAAUAUUUACAUUCAGACAUAAGGAACAAAUUUCUCUGAGACUUUUGUUGAGCUUCUCAAAUGUGUUUGCAGAUAAACACAAACAAUGUUUGUUGUUUUGCUUCUAUAUAAUUAUAUUUACUCACACAGUUCUUAUGUUGAAUUAAGGGUUUAGUACAUGCAGGUUUAAAAUACUUUAAUUACAUGUUUUGUACACGCUGUAGGCCUCCAAACUUAACAUGAAGCAGAAGAAGAACCCUUUUAAAUUCUGGCUUCUUAUUUUAGUUCUUGCUGAUCAUCUAUUUUAAUGUGAAGAAGCCAAAGACAGUUUUCUAUAAAGUUACUAAUUUAAUAAACUUACUUACUAAACACACAGUGUGCAUGUACAACGUUAACUAUAAACAUCUAUGUACUCUGUACUUUUGUCUCUCGUGUCAGUCAGUACGUUUACUAUCCAGGUGACUCGACUGCAGAUAUACACGGCCAAGAAACUGUUUCUCCAUUACAUGAUGUUCUAGAGCUCAGAUCACAGCAGAGAGUUAGUGAGGUGACUUAAUAUCUCACUGGGAUCUUUUUAUUUGUUAAUGUUAACGACGUGAUUAUUUGCAUCUGUGCUGCAUCACAUGAAUUAGCGUGACGGCCUUGCUCGGUUCUCCAGGGCUGCAGACCUGUUGGAGGCUAAUCAGCUGCAUGAGACACACCUGGGCCAGUUUUAUAAUCUUGUCACAGUGUUUGAUGCAGCGUCUUUGCGGCAGUUUGUUUCUCGUUGAUCGUUAACCCUGCAGCCAGUGGAGACCUGACCUCCUGCCUGAUAAAGAUCUGUCAGCUCCUUCCUGAGCAGGAGAAGCUUUAUGGCCUGAUUUACUGAGUGAAUGUUCUGUCAAACAUACUGUCUCAGUUUAAUCUGAUCAUUAGGCUGUCAAAUAAACUCAAACACGUCUUCAAACACA